AAUCCAUAGGUUAAUGAGGCGAACCGGGGGAACUGAAACAUCUAAGUACCCCGAGGAAAAGAAAUCAACCGAGAUUCCCCCAGUAGCGGCGAGCGAACGGGGAGGAGCCCAGAGCCUGAAUCAGCAUGUGUGUUAGUGGAAGCGUCUGGAAAGGCGCGCGAUACAGGGUGACAGCCCCGUACACAAAAGCGCAUGUGCUGUGAGCUCGAUGAGUAGGGCGGGACACGUGGUAUCCUGUCUGAAUAUGGGGGGACCAUCCUCCAAGGCUAAAUACUCCUGACUGACCGAUAGUGAACCAGUACCGUGAGGGAAAGGCGAAAAGAACCCCGGCGAGGGGAGUGAAAAAGAACCUGAAACCGUGUACGUACAAGCAGUGGGAGCACCCUUCGGGGUGUGACUGCGUACCUUUUGUAUAAUGGGUCAGCGACUUAUAUUCUGUAGCAAGGUUAACCGAAUAGGGGAGCCGGAGGGAAACCGAGUCUUAAUUGGGCGUUAAGUUGCAGGGUAUAGACCCGAAACCCGGUGAUCUAGCCAUGGGCAGGUUGAAGGUUGGGUAACACUAACUGGAGGACCGAACCGACUAAUGUUGAAAAAUUAGCGGAUGACCUGUGGCUGGGGGUGAAAGGCCAAUCAAACCGGGAGAUAGCUGGUUCUCCCCGAAAGCUAUUUAGGUAGCGCCUCGUGAAUUCAUCUCCGGGGGUAGAGCACUGUUUCGGCUAGGGGGCCAUCCCGGCUUACCAACCCGAUGCAAAC
rnacentral:rRNA from 1 species